GUUUAGUGGUAAAACUACAGCCUUCCAAGCUGUUGUCGUGGGUUCGAUUCCCAUCACCCGCUUUUUACCA
rnacentral:tRNA from 1 species